UACCCGCUGAAUUUAAGCAUAUCAAUAAGCGGAGGAAAAGAAACCAACAGGGAUUGCCUCAGUAACGGCGAGUGAAGCGGCAAGAGCUCAAAUUUGAAAGCUGGCUCCUUCGGGGUCCGCAUUGUAAUUUGCAGAGGAUACUUCGGGAGCGGUCCCCAUCUAAGUUCCCUGGAACGGGACGUCAUAGAGGGUGAAAAUCCCGUAUGGGAUGGGGUGUCCGCGCCCGUGUGAAGUUCCUUCGACGAGUCGAGUUGUUUGGGAAUGCAGCUCUAAAUGGGUGGUAAAUUUCAUCUAAAGCUAAAUAUUGGCCGGAGACCGAUAGCGCACAAGUAGAGUGAUCGAAAGAUGAAAAGCACUUUGAAAAGAGAGUUAAAAAGCACGUGAAAUUGUUGAAAGGGAAGCGCUUGCGACCAGACUCGGUCGCGGGGUUCAGCCGGCAUUCGUGCCGGUGUACUUCCCCGCGGUCGGGCCAACGUCAGUUUGGAUGGUCGGUUAAAGGCUCUCGGAAGGUAACGCCUCUAGGGGCGUCUUAUAGCCGAGGGUGCAAUACGACCUAUCCGGACUGAGGAACGCGCUUCGGCUCGGACGUUGGCAUAAUGGUCGUAAGCGACCCGUCUUGAAACACGGACCAAGGAGA
rnacentral:rRNA from 1 species